rnacentral:rRNA from 1 species
AACGCUAGCUACAGGCUUAACACAUGCAAGUCGAGGGGCAGCAUAAAAGUAGCAAUACUUUGGUGGCGACCGGCGCACGGGUGAGUAACGCGUAUGCAACCUACCUAUCAGAGGGGGAUAACCCGGCGAAAGUCGGACUAAUACCGCAUAAAACAGGGGCACCGCAUGGUGAUAUUUGUUAAAAAUUUAUUGCUGAUAGAUGGGCAUGCGUUCCAUUAGGUAGUUGGAGAGGUAACGGCUCACCAAGCCUACGAUGGAUAGGGGAACUGAGAGGUUGGUCCCCCACACUGGUACUGAGACACGGACCAGACUCCUACGGGAGGCAGCAGUGAGGAAUAUUGGUCAAUGGGCGAGAGCCUGAACCAGCCAAGUAGCGUGUAGGAUGACGGCCCUAUGGGUUGUAAACUGCUUUUAUAAGGGAAUAAAGUGAGUCUCGUGAGACUUUUUGCAUGUACCUUAUGAAUAAGGACCGGCUAAUUCCGUGCCAGCAGCCGCGGUAAUACGGAAGGUCCGGGCGUUAUCCGGAUUUAUUGGGUUUAAAGGGAGCGUAGGCCGGAGAUUAAGCGUGUUGUGAAAUGUAGACGCUCAACGUCUGCACUGCAGCGCGAACUGGUUUCCUUGAGUACGCACAAAGUGGGCGGAAUUCGUGGUGUAGCGGUGAAAUGCUUAGAUAUCACGAAGAACUCCGAUUG